rnacentral:rRNA from 1 species
AUACGUAGGUGACAAGCGUUAUCCGGAUUUACUGGGCGUAAAGGGCGUGUAGGCGGUCUUGCAAGUCAGAAGUGAAAUUCCUGAGCUCAACUCGGGCGCUGCUUCUGAAACUGCAGGACUUGAGUGCUGGAGGGGAUAGCGGAAUUCCUAGUGGAGCGGUAAAAUGCGCAGAUAUUAGGAAGAACACCGGUGGCGAAGGCGGCUAUCUGGACAGUAACUGACGCUGAGGCGCGAAAGCGUGGGGAGCGAACAGGAUUAGAUACCCUGGUAGUCCACGCGGUAAACGAUGAAUGCUAGGUGUUGCGGGUAUCGACCCCUGCAGUGCCGGAGUAAACACAAUAAGCAUUCCGCCUGGGGAGUACGGCCGCAAGGUUGAAACUCAAAUGAAUUGGCGGGG